ensembl:rRNA 5S_rRNA 5S ribosomal RNA
UCCAGCAGCCAUAUCACCCUACAACCCACAACUGGCAACCCACUGAAGCUAAGCAGGUGUGAGCCUGGUCCGUACCUGGAUGGGAGACCUCCUGGGAAAACCUAAGGUUGCUGCUGGAA